AUAAUAGUAUAUGCUAAUCCCAAACUCCUAAUUGUCCCGCCUCUCCCAGUUUCAAUUUUAAUCUCUCGUUUUUGUCCAAAAACCCAGUAAUAUUUAGCAUUUAUAUUGUUAUGACUAUGUAAAUGUUCUUCACUAUGAGUCAGGCACAUGAUGAAUAUAUUUUCUUUCUUCAGCAACUUCCCAUCCCCCUUUGGAAUGCUCUGUUUUUCUCUUUGCUUUGUUUAGUGUUGUGUCUAUCACUAGAUCUGUAAAAUUCCUCUCAAUAUGGUAAACACUUCAGUUAUCCAGUUAUCCAUCACAUCCACUUUUUUGUUGGUUUGUUCCUUGGCUUUUUUUUUUUUUUUUUUUUUUUUUUUAGGGCCGCACUCAUGGCAUAUGGAAGUUCCUAGGCUAGGGGCUGAGUUGGAGCUGUAGCCACCAGCCUGCCAGGGGUCGAAUCAGAGCUAUAGCUGCCAGCCUACACCACAGCCACAGCAACACCAGAUCUGAGCCAUGUCUGCUAUCUACACCACAGCUCAUGGCAAUGCCAGAUCCUUAACCCACUGAGCGAGGCCAGGGAUUGAACCUACAACCUCAUGGUUCCUAGUCGGAUUCAUUGCCACUGCACAACGACAGGAACUCCAAUGUAUCUUUUUCAAUGAAAAUUUUGUCCGGAUAUUUGCCCAGGAGUGGGAUUGUUAGAUCAUAUUGUAGUUCUAUAUUCAGUUUUCUGAGGUACCUCCAUACUGUUUUCCAUAGUGGUUGUACCAGUAUACAGCCCUACCAACAGUAUAGGAGGGUUCCCUUUUCUCCACACCCUCUCCAGUGUUUGUUAUUUGUAGAUGGCCAUUCUGACUGGUGUGAAGUGGUACUUCAUUAUAGUUUUGAUUUGCAUUUCUCUAAUAAUUAGUGACGUUGAGCAUUUUUUCAUGUGCCUAUUAACUAGCUGUAUGUCUUCUUUGGAGAAAUGUCUCUUCAGGUCUUCUGCCCAUUUUUCAUUUGGGUUGUUUGGUUUUUUUGCUGUUGAGUUGUAUGAGUUGUUUGUAAAUUUUGGAGAUUAAGCUCUUUUCAUUUGCAUAAUUGAAACUAUUUUCUCCCAUUCCUUAGGUUGUCUUUUUUUUUUUUAUGGUUUUCUUUGCUGUGCAAAAGCUUGUAAGUUUGAUUAGGUCCUAUUUGUUUAUUUUUGUUUUUAUUUCUAUUGCUUUGG
rnacentral:lncRNA from 1 species